CAAUCGGCCCUUUUCAGGGCCAACAUGCGUUCAUAAAAGGGUUUAU
rfam:Aedes aegypti strain Liverpool supercont1.11 genomic scaffold, whole genome shotgun sequence.